rnacentral:rRNA from 1 species
AAUCUUGAUGCUUCAUAUAACCAAAGCAUCCGCCUGAGAACUACGAGCACAAACGCUUAAAACUCUAAGGACUUGGCGGUGUCCCAAACCCACCUAGAGGAGCCUGUUCUAUAAUCGAUAACCCACGAUACACCCGACCACUUCUUGCCAAAACAGCCUACAUACCGCCGUCGCCAGCUCACCUCUUUUGAGAGCGCCACAGUGAGCACAAUCGCCCUAACCCCGCUAACAAGACAGGUCAAGGUAUAGCUCAUGAAGUGGAAGAAAUGGGCUACAUUUUCUAGCUUAGAAAACUCACGAAAAGGGACAUGAAAUGGUCCCUAGAAGGCGGAUUUAGCAGUAAAGCGGGAUAACAUAAGCCCCCUUUAAGCCGGCCCUGGGGCACGUACACAC